rnacentral:snRNA from 1 species
AUCGUUUCUCGGCCUUUUGGCUAAGAUCAAGUGUAGUAUCUAUUCAUCAAAUCAUAAACUUAUUAACAAAGAGUUGCUUUGCGUGCAGUAACAUGAACUAUCUUAAUGGACAGCAACAUUCUA